rnacentral:rRNA from 1 species
AACGAACGCUGGCGGCAUGCCUAACACAUGCAAGUCGAACGAGACCUUCGGGUCUAGUGGCGCACGGGUGCGUAACGCGUGGGAACCUUCCCUUAGGUUCGGAAUAACUCCCCGAAAGGGGUGCUAAUACCGGAUAAUGUCUUCGGACCAAAGAUUGAUCGCCUUUGGAUGGGCCCGCGUUGGAUUAGCUAGUUGGUAGGGUAAAAGCCUACCAAGGCGACGAUCCAUAGCUGGUCUGAGAGGAUGAUCAGCCACACUGGGAGUGAGACACGGCCCAGACUACUACGGGAGGCAGCAGUGGGGGAUAUUGGACAAUGGGCGAAGGCCUGAUCCAGCAAUGCCGGGUGAGUGAUGAAGGCCUUAGGGUUGUAAAGCUCUUUUACACGGGAUGAUAAUGACAGUACCGGGAGAAUAAGCUCCGGCUAACUCCGUG